UGGGGAAUAUUGCACAAUGGGCGAAAGCCUGAUGCAGCGACGCCGCGUGAGGGAUGACGGCCUUCGGGUUGUAAACCUCUUUCAGUAGGGACGAAGCGCAAGUGACGGUACCUGCAGAAGAAGCACCGGCUAACUACGUGCCAGCAGCCGCGGUAAUACGUAGGGUGCGAGCGUUGUCCGGAAUUACUGGGCGUAAAGAGCUCGUAGGCGGUUUGUCACGUCGUCUGUGAAAUCCUAGGGCUUAACGCUGGACGUGCAGGCGAUACGGGCUGACUUGAGUACUACAGGGGAGACUGGAAUUUCUGGUGUAGCGGUGGAAUGGACAGAUAUCAGGAAGAACACCGAUGGCGAAGGCAGGUCUCUGGGUAGUAACUGACGCUGAGGAGCGAAAGCAUAGGUAGCGAACAGG
rnacentral:rRNA from 1 species